rnacentral:rRNA from 1 species
CUUGCUGGAUGGGAAAGUGGCGCACGGGUGCGUAACGCGUAUGCAACCUACCUUAAUCAGGGGGAUAGCCCGAAGAAAUUCGGAUUAACACCGCAUAAAAUCACAGUACAGCAUUGUACAAUGAUCAAAUAUUUAUAGGAUUAAGAUGGGCAUGCGUGUCAUUAGUUAGUUGGCGAGGUAACGGCUCACCAAGACCACGAUGACUAGGGGAUCUGAGAGGAUGACCCCCCACACUGGUACUGAGACACGGACCAGACUCCUACGGGAGGCAGCAGUAAGGAAUAUUGGUCAAUGGAGGCAACUCUGAACCAGCCAUGCCGCGUGCAGGAAGACAGCCCUCUGGGUCGUAAACUGCUUUUAUUCGGGAAUAAACCUACUUACGUGUAAGUAGCUGAAUGUACCGAAGGAAUAAGGAUCGGCUAACUCCGUGCCAGCAGCCGCGGUAAUACGGAGGAUCCAAGCGUUAUCCGGAUUUAUUGGGUUUAAAGGGUGCGUAGGCGGCUUAUUAAGUCAGGGGUGAAAGACGGUGGCUCAACCAUCGCAGUGCCCUUGAUACUGAUGAGCUUGAAUACACUAGAGGUAGGCGGAAUGUGACAAGUAGCGGUGAAAUGCAUAGAUAUGUCACAGAACACCGAUUGCGAAGGCAGCUUACUAUGGUGUUAUUGACGCUGAGGCACGAAAGCGUGGGGAUCAAACAGGAUUAGAUACCCUGGUAGUCCA